GUGAAUCAUCAAAUUUUUGAACGCAAAUUGCACUCCCUGGUAUUCCGGGGAGUAUGCCUGUUUGAGGGUCGUUAGAAGAAAAGUCGAAGCAUCGCUCUUUUUUUGAGGGUGGUCGCGUCGGAAUUGAUCCGUCUUUCAAAUGUUAAUUCAUGUAAAAGUGGCUUAAAAUUCAUACAUUCGGUACGAUUAAAGCAUAUUUAAGAUAAAUUUUGGUUAUGAACGCGCGUUGACGUACCC
rnacentral:misc_RNA from 1 species